AUAAAAAAAGAAAUUGGAAAAUUGAAUGAGAUUUUUAUACCUAUUUCUCCCUUUUGGAACUUAGGGGAGUUACGGGAGUCCUGUAUCUCUCCCUCACAUUUCUACACCUCUAUUUCACACACGCACACAUUCCUCCGGGGAGCGCUGCCGCGCCUCCGGCAACCAUCGCCUUCCGUUCAGCAUGGCAGCCCUCCGUGUCCCCCCCUCUGUCUCGUCACAUCUCACCUCUCAACACACCAAAACACGUACAUCUCUCUCUCUGCAGCGGAAGUCUGAAGGAUUUUCCGCCACCACCGUCCCCGUUUUCCGGCAGCUGUGAGUUGGAAUUGUCUCCCCUUUGUAUUAAUUCUUUCGAUGUACAGCUGCUCAAGUCGGGUCACUAGCCAACCUUUUUGUGUUCGGAAAAUUCUUUCAGAUAUUCUAGAUGUGACAUGUUUAGAAAGUGUAAUGUAGUUCGGACGUUUCAUUUACUUCGCUAUCCAGGUUGUAUAAAUAUAUAUAUAGACUUUCGGAAAUAGGUUUAUGGUCUAAUUUCAGACGAUA